rnacentral:rRNA from 1 species
UCGAUGAGUAGGGCGGGACACGUGGUAUCCUGUCUGAAUAUGGGGGGACCAUCCUCCAAGGCUAAAUACUCCUGACUGACCGAUAGUGAACCAGUACCGUGAGGGAAAGGCGAAAAGAACCCCGGCGAGGGGAGUGAAACAGAACCUGAAACCGUGUACGUACAAGCAGUGGGAGCCUCUCUUUAUGGGGGGUGACUGCGUACCUUUUGUAUAAUGGGUCAGCGACUUAUAUUCUGUAGCAAGGUUAACCGCAUAGGGGAGCCGAAGGGAAACCGAGUCUUAAUUGGGCGUUAAGUUGCAGGGUAUAGACCCGAAACCCGGUGAUCUAGCCAUGGGCAGGUUGAAGGUUGGGUAACACUAACUGGAGGACCGAACCGACUAAUGUUGAAAAAUUAGCGGAUGACCUGUGGCUGGGGGUGAAAGGCCAAUCAAACCGGGAGAUAGCUGGUUCUCCCCGAAAGCUAUUUAGGUAGCGCCUCGUGAAUUCAUCUCCGGGGGUAGAGCACUGUUUCGGCUAGGGGGCCAUCCCGGCUUACCAACCCGAUGCAAACUGCGAAUACCGGAGAAUGUUAUCACGGGAGACACACGGCGGGUGCUAACGUCCGUCGUGAAGAGGGAAACAACCCAGACCGCCAGCUAAGGUCCCAAAGUCAUGGUUAAGUGGGAAACGAUGUGGGAAGGCCCAGACAGCCAGGAUGUUGGCUUAGAAGCAGCCAUCAUUUAAAGAAAGCGUAAUAGCUCACUGGUCGAGUCGGCCUGCGCGGAAGAUGUAACGGGGCUAAACCAUGCAC